AGUGAACGCUGGCGGUAGGCCUAACACAUGCAAGUCGAACGGCAGCACAGUAAGAGCUUGCUCUUACGGGUGGCGAGUGGCGGACGGGUGAGGAAUACAUCGGAAUCUACUUUUUCGUGGGGGAUAACGUAGGGAAACUUACGCUAAUACCGCAUACGACCUACGGGUGAAAGCAGGGGAUCUUCGGACCUUGCGCGAUUGAAUGAGCCGAUGUCGGAUUAGCUAGUUGGCGGGGUAAAGGCCCACCAAGGCGACGAUCCGUAGCUGGUCUGAGGGGAUGAUCGGCAACACGGAAACUGGGACACGGCCAAAACCCUGACGGGAGGAAGAGGGGGGAAUAAUUGGACAAGGGGCGAAAGCCUGUCCCAGCAAAACGGCGGGGGUAAAAAAGCCUUUCGGGUGGUAAGCCCUUUUUGUUGGAAAGGAAAACAGCCAGGUUAAUCCCCCGCGGUUUGACGGUACCCAAAGAAUAAGCACCGGCUAACUUCGUG
rnacentral:rRNA from 1 species